AAGAAGAGUUCACUGUUUCUUCAGACGAAGAGCAGGACUCCGACGAUGAACGUUUGUAUUUUGAAGAGCGACUUGAUCCAGCUGAGGAUAUAAUUUCUGAAGAGAAUGUGGCAGCAUCACUCUCCUCUUCAGCGGGCAUUUGCAGAAAUGCGACGGACAUUCAUACAGGGAAUGUGUCUGCAACACCAACUUCGUCUGGUACUCGCACGUUUUGAACAAUGGCAUGACAACAUUUAACUCCAUUCCCAAAGAGUUACAGUGUGUGAUGGUUUACAAAUGUAUACCUUAUUUUUUAUAUUUGGAAGUAUUUUUAGAUGCACACCAAACUUUCACAGCUGACAUUUAGAAUCAUUUUCUUUUAAUUAGAGCCAUAUUGUACUGGUCAUAUAGAAUAUUGUUACAUGUAUACAUAUUGUUACUUUAUUAUUUAUAAUUACAAUUAAGCUUCUUUGUUUAUAAUUACAAUAAAGCUUCUUAAAUCUAUUGUAUUGUUCAUGUUGUUAGCAUUUUUUGCAACCCUGUAAGACUUUUAUUUUACUAAAAAGGCCUUUUGUACUUUAUUUUAACCUA